ACUCAAAGGAAUUGACGGGGGCCCGCACAAGCAGUGGAUUAUGUGGUUUAAUUCGAAGCAACGCGAAGAACCUUACCAGGUCUUGACAUCCAACUAACGAGGUAGAGAUACGUUAGGUGCCCUUCGGGGAAAGUUGAGACAGGUGGUGCAUGGUUGUCGUCAGCUCGUGUCGUGAGAUGUUGGGUUAAGUCCCGCAACGAGCGCAACCCCUGCCAUUAGUUGCUACGCAAGAGCACUCUAAUGGGACCGCCGUUGACAAAACGGAGGAAGGUGGGGACGACGUCAAAUCAUCAUGCCCCUUAUGACCUGGGCUACACACGUAAUACAAUGGCCGUUAACAGAGGGAAGCAAGACCGCGAGGUGGAGCAAAACCCUAAAAACGGUCCCAGUUCGGAUCGCAGGCUGCAACUCGCCUGCGUGAAGUUGGAAUUGCUAGUAAUCGCGGAUCAUCAUGCCGCGGUGAAUACGUUCCCGGGCCUUGUACACACCGCCCGU
rnacentral:rRNA from 1 species